UACGGAGGGGGCUAGCGUUGUUCGGAAUUACUGGGCGUAAAGCGCACGUAGGCGGCUUUGUAAGUUAGAGGUGAAAGCCCGGGGCUCAACUCCGGAAUUGCCUUUAAGACUGCAUCGCUAGAAUUGUGGAGAGGUAAGUGGAAUUCCGAGUGUAGAGGUGAAAUUCGUAGAUAUUCGGAAGAACACCAGUGGCGAAGGCGACUUACUGGACCGGAACUGACGCUGAUGCGCGAAAGCGUGGGGAGCAAACAGG
rnacentral:rRNA from 1 species